CCGUAACUAUAACGGUCCUAAGGUAGCGAAAUUCCUUGUCGGGUAAGUUCCGACCCGCACGAAAGGCGUAAUGAUUUGAGCACUGUCUCGACAAUGCAUCCGGUGAAAUUGAAGUACCAGUGAAGAUGCUGGUUACCUGCGCCAGGACGGAAAGACCCCAUGGAGCUUUACUCCAGUCUGGUACUGGGACUCGGUAUUGCAUGUACAGGAUAGGUGGGAGGCUGUGAGCCGUGCGCGCCAGCGUACGGGGAGCCGCUGUUGGGAUACCACCCUUCAUGCAUCUAGGUCCUAACCGGAGGCAACGGGCCACGGGACAGUGUCAGUCGGGCAGUUUGACUGGGGCGGUCGCCUCCGAAAGGGUAUCGGAGGCGCUCAAAGGUUCCCUCAGAAUGGACGGAAACCAUUCGAAGAGUGCAAAGGCAGAAGGGAGCUUGACUGCGACACCGACGGGUGGAGCAGGUACGAAAGUAGGACUUAGUGAUCCGGUGGUAUAAAGUGGGAUUGCCAUCGCUCAACGGAUAAAAGCUACCCUGGGGAUAACAGGCUUAUCACUCCCAAGAGUUCACAUCGACGGAGUGGUUUGGCACCUCGAUGUCGGCUCAUCGCAUCCUGGGGCUGUAGCAGGUCCCAAGGGUUGGGCUGUUCGCCCAUUAAAGCGGUACGCGAGCUGGGUUCAGAACGUCGUGAGACAGUUCGGUCCCUAUCCGGCGCGGGCGGAGGAUAUUUGAGAGGAGCUGUCCUUAGUACGAGAGGACCGGGAUGGACGGACCACUGGUGUAUCUGUUGUCGACCAACGGCAUGGCAGAGUAGCCAAGUCUGGAAGGGAUAAACGCUGAAGGCAUCUAAGCGUGAAGCCCCCCUCAAGAUGAGAUAUCCCUCCUUCGGGAGUAAGACCCCUUGAAGACUACAAGGUAGAUAGGGCAGAGGUGGAAGCAUGGCAACAUGUGGAGCUGACUGUUACUAAUAGGUCGAGGGCUUGAUUAA
rnacentral:rRNA from 1 species